UGCACCAAAUACCCUCGCGUCUUUCGAAUCACAUAAUAUACCCCUAUUUUUUCGUAUUGUUCAUGAAAUGCACUUGCAGUUAACGGACGUUAGUCCUCCGUUAGCUAUAGUUUACCAUUUUGCCCUUAAUGCAUGUUCUUUGGCAUAAAUUCCAAAAAAUUAAAAAAAUCUCAACUUCUUCUCUUUCUCUCUCCUCUCCCCUGUUCUUCAUCCUGCUCUCUAGUCGCCGGUAGCGGCCGAUCUCCCCUCUCUGUUCGCCGGCGGAGGCCGAUCUCCGAUAUAUGGUCGCCGGCGAGCCUAACUGUUUGACUGAGAUUCUUGGUUCGUUGUUUUGACCGUUCUUGCAAUUUCUUCUGCUAGGUUUGAUUUCUUCAAAUUAAUUCUUAGUUCUUUUGAUUUCUAGGCGUUUCUGCUGGGUUUGAUUUCGUUGACUGAGAUGAAUGUUGGUGAAUUUCUGGGCGUUUUUGCUUUGGUUUGAUUCGCUGCCCAGAGAGUUUUAGAUUUGAUUUUGAGGGUGCCUGGAAACGAUCAAUCCCGACUCUAUGCUGCACCUGCUGCAAGAAUGGGUAUGACUAGAAGAGUGUACCCUCUUGGUUCUUUGAACCCUUACCAAGGGAACUGGACCAUCAAAGUCCGAGUUACCAGCAAGGGGACACUACAAACCUUCUAUAAUGAGAGAGGAGAAGGGAAUGUCUUCAAUGUUGAGCUAACUAAUGAAUAUGGUACUCAAAUACAAGCAACGAUGUUCAAUGCGAUAGAGAAGAAGUUCUUUGACACCUUUGAAGCAGGGAAGGUUUAAUACAUCUCAAAGGGAUCUGUUGAAGUUGCUAAUAAGAGGUUCAACACGACUAAAAAUGACUACGAGAUGACCAUCAAUGAGAACUCAGUUGUUGAGGUAGCCAGUGUUGAAAGGGUAUAUAUCCCUGAAACAAAGUUCAACUUUGUUCCUAUUGAUCAGUUGGGUAUACAUGUUGAUGGAAAGGAUCUUGUAGGCAAGAAAUGCAGCCUUUAACAACAACACUUGUUUCUCACA